UGCUUGCAAAUCACAUAUAAAAAAUUUACAUAUCUACUCAUAGACAGCUGAGCACUUUAAUCAAAUAGUGUAAAUUAUGUUGUUAUCUUAACCCUUUUGUUACAAAAAGAGUUAUCAUGGUCUAAUAUUUUCUCCACACGUUCAACUUCCAUGAUAACACUCGAAUAACACUUAAUCUAUACAAUUAAGCAAUAAUGAUCAACUAUCACUCCAAAUAAACCUCGAAAUCACUAAAUUUUGAGUACUCACUAUACCCAAAAAUCUCAUUUUAUUAACAUCACCAAUUCUAAUACACUCCAUUAAUUCUAUUUUACAUCCAAACACACUAAUAUCACCAACCAUUGGUUCACAUUGUUUUAAAACUCCUAAAUUAUACAUAGCGUUCGUUUAAUACCUCAACAAAAAUUUUAAAUCCAUACAAAACCCAUAAACCUAGGGUUAGAGGCUUGAUUUAACUCCCCAAGAUCUUAACUAAGUAAUGGGUUAGGUUAUAGUCCAAGGAAACCGAAAUUAAAGCUUACAUUGCCCCCAAAAAGUUAGAAAUUCACAUAAAAGGAAAGGGAGACAGAAUAGGGAACUUACAUGAUGAUUAAAUCUCGUAUUGCCUUUAAUGUGCCCUUAGGAUCAUGCCCAAAUAGCCACGAGCUCCUUCUCAAAUGGUCCUCUUGAUAUCUCUCUUUCUCCUUUCUGAAAUCAAACACAUUUUGCGUCUGAUAAAUGUCAGAUUUUAGUGAUGUUAAGUGUGUGCCACAGCACAUGGCACAGAAUCUACCAUAUGCCUUUUUGGCUACCUAUUGAACUGGAUUGAUCUAUUCACCAUCUUAGCCCAUUUCCAAAGCUGUUCAUAGGUCAAAAACUCUAUUAGUAUCCUAAAACACUAUUAGCUAAAAAGUCAUCAAUUUUGACCAAAUUACCCUUUUUAAACACUUAAAGUCCUAAGUUAAAAAUUUAGAAUGUUAUAGAAGGAAUUAGGUAUGAAAGAUUUUUAGAGUGAGAAGCUCCACCUUCUCUCUAGAUUCCUGGAGAGAAGGUUCUUCUUCUUCUUCCUCUGCCUUACACUUUUUCUUCUAACUUUCAUGAAUUUCAAAUAAAGUCUAGAUCCUAAUUUCAUCUUUUGUGCUUCCUUCCAAAAGGAAACCAUGAAUCCUCUUGCUUCCAAAGAGGAAAUUGAUUUACUCAAUAGGAAUAGUUCCAAGCCUGAUGAAGAAAUGAUAGAUAAGGGCUCAAAAAAAUUAGAUAUUAGAAACAAAAGUCCAACAAUGCUGUCUGAACCAGUCAAAGAAUUCAAACAAUCAACUAUAAGAAUAGCUUAUGAAUACUCACCAAGAUAAAAGUCCAGAAACUCACAUACAACAAAACAAAUCAACACCAUUGACUAAAGGAGUCAAAAUACCCAUUUCUUAUAAAGAAUCACUGAUAGGCUAUAAUGGGUGUUAUGGAAUCCAGUCAGGAAGAGAAAUCAAACAAAGAAAUGAAUCUCUUGCUUUAGAAUUAGAAAAAGAAUGGACGCCCUCUGAAAGAACAAUGAAUCUGAUCAACCAAUACCCUGCUUUAUAGAUAUCAAAUGAAGAAUGGAAGAAAAUAUGUAUGCCCUGGAUGGAUGUUAUAGUUAUCAACACAUUAGGACUUUAACUCAAUCCUAGAUUACUCAAACUAAGGUUAGCUAAAAUGUGGCAACUUAAAGACUUUGAAUUGAUUGAUUUGGUUAAUAGCUACUAUAUAGUUAGAACAAAAGACCCUUUUGCCUAUGAUAAAAUUCUCACUGGGGGCCCUGGACCAUAUUUGAUCAUUGCAUUUUAGUUCAGAGGUGGUAUCCUACUUUCAAUCCCAACUCUAAUAUAUUAGGCAAAAUUGCUUUAUGGGUUAGAUUAUUGAAUAUCCCUAUUCAAUAUUACAAUAAAGAAAUCCUCUGUAGAAUAGGCAAUUGCAUAGGCAAAACAUUAAAGUUAGAUUCAAAUUCUCUAUCGAAAGCUGACUCUAUAGACAAGAAUGGCAAGACUGAAAGAGGGAAAUUUGUAAGAAUAAGUGUGGAAGUAGAUCUACAAAAGAAACUUGUUCUCAGAAUCCUGAUAAGAGAUGAGCUUUAUAAUGUGGAGUAUGAAAGUCUCAACUCAAUCUACUUCAGUUGUGGGUGCUAUGGGCAUAACAAAAGCUACUAUUCCUAAAAUCCAAAGAACCAAAACCCAGAACAUCUAAGCAGGAUCGAAAGCAAUAGUAAAAGCAUAUUUCCAGACCAUAAUCUAUUUACUUCAAGGAAUCAUAAGAGAGAAAAGGAGAAUCAGAUUCAAAACACAGGAGGCCCGUCGGACAUGAACGAAAACUUGCUAGAAGAAGAAUUUGGACACUUCAUGCGAUUUUGGCGUGAUGCUUGAUGCUCCAGAAAUACAUAAAAUAUGAGAAAUCAGUCGGAUAAUUAAGCUAUACGUCACGAUCGAGGUCCUAAGCCUACUUCUGGGACACAAUUUGAGGUACUUGUAGACCUUAAGCAAGAAAUUAUCGGAUAAGGGAGAGAUGAAGAUAGAAUGAGCAAUGGUGGACCUAAACAGCCAGCUCCUACAAAGAGUGCCUGACAAAUAUAGAGGAAGAAGGAAAUAGCAAGUCUGAAGAGGGAUAGGUCGAUUGAUCAAGAGUCUGAAGAAACGAUGGAAUGUACAAAAGGAAAAGAAAAACUGACUGGAGAGGAAAAAGGAAGCAAGUUCACGCAUUUUGGGCCUUUAUUCUCUUGGAACGGCCCAAUGUUGUUAGUGUGGAAAAUUCAGUCCAAUCUGAAUUGAAGGCUAAAACUGAAUCCAUUAAACCCACUAAAAGAAAUCAUACUGUUGUGAGAGGAAGCAAAAGGAAUAUGAUAUCUUUAGAAAGGCCUAAUACUGUGAAUAACUCAAAGAUCAUCUAUGAUAAAGCUACAAAGAUUAAAAGCGACAAAGGAUUUAUUUUCUCCCUAAAUUUAACUAUUUGGAAAAAUGGUCAGCAUAGAAUAUCUGAUCAAAAUUCUCCAACCCCUUCCAAUCAUCAACUUGACCAGAGAGAACCUUAUGAUACUAUAGACAGCCAAAUUUUUGUUCCAAAAACACAAUUAAAUAUAGCUGUUGCUGUGGAGUCAAAUAACGAUUCAACUGGACUAGAUAAUGCUGGUCACACCUCUCCAGCAGACUAUGAAGAUGACAUUCUGGAUGAAUAUUACCAAAUUCACGCUCAAAACAACAAUCUAAAGGAUGAUGAAUUCAGUGAUGAGGAUAUUGAAGACAGAUACCUAAUUUCAUCCAAGUUUACCUAAUCCUUUUAAUUAUUUUAUGGAUAUUAUUUGUUGGAAUUGUAGGGGUACUUGUGCUAAACGCUUUCCUAAACACAUUAAAGAAAUAAUUGCUACUUAUAAUACUCAAAUUUUUAUUUUUUUAGAAACUAGAGCUAGUGGCUCUAGAGCUAAUAAUAUUGUUAAAAAAUUAGGCUUUUCUGAUUGGAUUUGUGUUGAAACAACUGGUUAUGCUGGAGGCAUUUGGCUUUUAUGGAAUAAUUAUAUUGUUAAUAUUGAUUAUAUUUAUUCUAAUGUUCAACUUCUCCAUUACAAGGUCAAUUUUAAAUCUACUAAUAACUAUUAUAUGCUUUAUUGUGUUUAUGGUAAUCCUAAUCCUUUUAGCCAUGAUCUUCUCUAGGAUUCUAUUAAUUCUAUUGCUCAAAAUAAUUUUGAGCCUUAGCUUAUUGUUGGAGAUUUUAAUGCCUAUCUUUCUUAUGAAGACAAAUCUGGUGGUGAUAACUUUAAUUGGAAAUCCAUGAAACAACUUUGACAGUGCAUAAAUUCUCCUAAUCUUCUAGAAUUAAAUUUCCAUGGAGAUAGAUUUACUUAGGAAAAAGGUAAAUUAAAAGAACGUUUGGAUUGGGCUUUCUGUAAUACUAGUUAGAGACUUAAAUUUUACCAAGCUGAUUCCUUCCAUCUUUUCAAAUUUAGUUCUGACCAUCGCCCAAUUAGAAUCCAACUUACUAGAAAGGAAAACUAGAAUCACAAGAUUAUUCCUUUUAGAUGUCAUGCUGCUUGAACUCUUGAAGACUCUUUUCACCCUCUGGUUAAAGAUUCUUGGAGCAAAGAUGACUGGAAUGAAGGGGUCUCAAAAAUCACCUCAUUUGCUCCCCUUUGGAACAAGAAUAAAAUUGUUAAUAUAUCCUCCAAAAAGAAAAGAAUCUUAUGUUGUCUGGAAGGUAUUGACAAGAGUAGAACCUAAAACGAUAAUUACUUUCUUAAGAACUUAGAAAAAUCUCUAUGGGAAGAUUACAAUCAAGUCCUAUUGCAAGAAGAGUUGAUUUGGUUCCAAAAACUAGUUGCAAGUGGCUAAAAUGGGGGGAUUAAAACACCAAAUUAUUUCAUGCUACAUCCGUUAUUAGAAGGAAGAGGAAUCAUAUUCUCUUGCUCCAAGCUGAAGAUGACACUUGGGUUCAAGACCAUGAUAAUUUGAAAAAUAUGACUGUUACUUAUUUUGAUAAUCUCUACAAGGACAAUCCUGAUGUCAAACCCUAAGCUUAUUACUGAUAAAAAUUUUCCUACUCUCUCUUCCAUUCAACUUCAAUCUCUUCAUAAAGAGGUGACUGAUGAAGAAAUAAAAAAUGCUACUUUUGAGAUUGGGGCGUUUAAAGCUCUAGGUCCUAAUGGCAUCAAUACUAGCUUCAUUCAUACCUACUGGGAUGAUCUAAAGCAUACUAUUAUCAAGCUUGCCAAAAAAGUGUUCAAGGAUUAAAGAAUGUCAUGAGCAUAUGCAACAAUCAAAUGUAAUACCUUAUUGAAUCAUGGUUAUAAGCCAUAAUCAUGUGGGUAGGAUUAAAGUAACUCAUUAAAUUUCAUAGUCACGUUCUUUAUGAUUUCUCCACAAUUUGUCACACAUAUAUAUAUAUAUAUAUAUUAUCUCUAUACAAGUUUGAGGUAUCAUAAUCAAUUAGACAAAAAUUAUGCAUGAGCAUAUUUAUAUCAAUCACCACAUCAAAUAUAGUUUGUACCCACAUGGAGAAACUCCAAGUUACAUGUUCUCUUUGAGCUAACAAGUAGUCACACAUCAAAUCCAAUCAAAAAGAGGUCUCAGUAAGAGACUACAUAAAUCAUACAUGUAUAAACAUGUUAAUAUAUAAUCCAAAAUUGUUAAAAGAUUAUCCUAAAGCUACUUUACGUUACGCUGAAGUUAUUUUAAAAUUUAAAGCUAUAUUAGAGAACCCAAAAAUUAUCUUUUAAAUACAUAUCCAUUUGUAUAAAUUAGUCUAUCUAUAAUUAGAAUUUCAAUAACCCUUUUUGUAAUAGCUCAAAAGUAUUAGUUUACAUUCUCUAGUAGUCUUAGAUAUUUGCUCUAAGACUCAAACCUUAUUUUAAGAGUCCUCAAAUAUCAUAUGAAAUUUAUACGUAGAGAAUAAAUCUUCUAAAAUCUCCAAAAUAAAUCUACAAAUAUUUCAAAGUAAUUUUCUAUUAGCAAAAAGAUCCAAAAAUUCUAAAUAUGUCAGAUUCUAAAUUUUUCUACUAUCAAGAAUAUGAAAAAUAAGAAGAUAAACAAGUAAAAUAAAAUUUUCAGGGUACUUACAUAGUCUUGAAAAAUUUCAAACCAUCCUUAAAAUAUUUUCUCAUAAUACCCAAAAUCUAAAAUCACUCACCCUUGCUUCCCUCUCAUAUCCACACAAAAUGCCGCUGUAAUGGAAUUAUGCAAUUGGUAUGUGGUUCACUUUUAUAUGAAGUACAUAUUGUUUAUAUGAACUUUUAUUUUAUUUUAAACUUAAUAUAAAACUUUGUUUAUUUUUUUCAUUUAGAUACCUAUAUAAAAAUUAUAUUGUCCUUAGUGACCUUUUAUCAAAGUUUGUCUUUAUCUAUCCUCAUGAGAGGUGUGGCAUGGCCAAGCUCAAACAUUAAUAAAGUAUUUCGAGGCAAUGAACCUUAAUACAAGGACAUUAUUCCUGGUGCCUUAUGUACAAAGGUGAGUUCAAUGGUAUCCUAAUUAAUUUAAUUUAUCUUGUCAUUUUUAGUUUCAUGACAUGAGCUUUCAAAUUGUUUUAGAAAUUGUUAGAGGCUAAUCGAUGUAGGAUAGGCUAGCACCCAAAGGGGGUGAAUUAAUCAUUAAAUAAUAAUAUAUAUUAAUAAUUAAUAUUAACUAAAUAAAAUUUAAUAAAAUAAUAUUUCAUCUUAUAAAAAACUAAUUAAAUAUUGAAUCAAGUAGAGAGGUGGUAUUUCCAAGUUUGGCAAAGCCACCUCUCUUCACUUGAUUAUUAAAUAUUACUAUAUAUUAAUUAUAAAUGCUACAUAAAUAAAUUAUAAUAAAAUAAUUAUUUAAUAUGAUAAAACAAAAUUUUAAGCUAAAAAGAGAGUAUAGAUGUGGCAUUUUGAAACUUCUAUGAUUUUAUUUACUAAACAAUAUGUUGUACUAAUUAAAAUUGUCAAUUAAAUAAAAUAUAUUGAAUUAUGUAUUUAACAAGAUAAAAAAAAUACUAAAUCAAUAACAAAGCAGAGAUGAAACACCACAUCUAUUGUUUUUUAAUUGGUAAAUAAUAUAUAUUAAUAAUUAAUAUUAAUUAAAUAAAUUUUAAUAAAAUAAAAUUUUAUUUUAUAAAAAUUUAAUUAUAUAUUGAAUGAAGAAGAGGGGUGGUGUUUCCAAGUUUGGAAAUGCCACCUCUCUUCAUUUGAUUAUUAAAUAUUACUACAUAUUAAUUAUAAACACUAAAUAAAUAAAUUAUAAUAAAGUAAUUAUUUAAUAUGAUAAAAUAGAAUUUUAAGCCAAUAAGAGAGUAUAGAUGUGGCGUUUUGAAGCUAAAAAAAUGAUAGCUCUCUAAUUUUAUUUAUUAAAAAAUAUGUCGUAGUAAUUAAAAUUAUCAAUUAAAUAAAUUAGGGAAAAUAUCUUUGUGGGUCCUUAUAGUUUACCUUAGUUUUGAAUCAGGUCCCUAUACUUUCAAUUGUUGUAAUCAAACCCUUAUAUUUUUAACUGUUAAGCCCAUUAGUCCUUUUCCAUUUAACACUAUUAAAAGUUAACAUAUUUCUAAACUCUGUUAGUGUAAAAUAAUUAGAAGCCAAAGAGAAAAAAAAUUGACACGCUGGACGAACACCGUGGACUGGGAGAAGUGAAACAUGAAAUAGGUUAUUCAUGCUAGUUCUCUAUAAACGCCACUGUGGAGAACAAGAGACGUCGUGGUGGUGGCCAUUGCCAAAGCUUUUUUGGUUCUGCUCAGUUGUCAUUUUGAUUCAUCUUCGGCUCGCCUGUGCUAGUGAAAGAGGUAAGCUUUUUCAUUGUCUUGUUUUUCCAGUCAUCUUCGGUCACACUGAUGCUCUAUGAAUGUCACGGUAGAGAAUAAGAGAAACAACAUGUUGCUUUUAUGGCCAAAGCUUUUUCGGUUCUGCUUCAUUAUCAUUCUAAUUCAUCUUGAGUUCACCUAUGCUGGUGAAAGAGCUUGCUUUCAUUUUAAUGGAACCCCAAGAUGAAAAAGAAAUAGGCCGUGGUGAUAAAUGCCUUCUAUAAAUUUUUACUUGGAGUUAAAGUACCAAAAGGAUACUCUUCAAAUAUCAGUAGCUCAUGUCUAUGAAAGAUCUCAAACUAGAGGGUAUGAAGACUCAUGACUGCCAUAUUAUUAUGAAAAAUCUAUUGUGGUAGGUAUAUGCUCCAUUUUGCUAAAGAAGAUUCAUGAAACUAUUACCAAACUUUGUUUCUUCUUUAAAGGAAUUUGUAGCAAAGUGAUUAACCUAGAGAACUUGCCUAAAUUAGAGCAUGAAAUAGCUAAGAUCUUGUGUAAGCUUGAAAUGUAUUUUCCAACUUUGUUUUUUGACAUCAUGGUUCACUUGUCAUUUUACUUGGUUAAAGAGACAAAGUUGUGUGGCCUAACUUAUCUGAGGUGGAUGUACCCGAUAGAGCAUUACUUGAAGGUAUUAAAAGGAUAUGUGAAAAAUUAA